rnacentral:rRNA from 1 species
UACGUAGGGUGCGAGCGUUGUCCGGAAUUAUUGGGCGUAAAGGGCUCGUAGGCGGUUUGUCGCGUCGGGAGUGAAAACCAUGGGCUUAACUCAUGGCUUGCUUCCGAUACGGGCAGACUAGAGGUAUGCAGGGGAGAACGGAAUUCCUGGUGUAGCGGUGAAAUGCGCAGAUAUCAGGAGGAACACCGGUGGCGAAGGCGGGUCUCUGGGCCGAUACUGACGCUGAGGAGCGAAAGCGUGGGGAGCGAACAGG